GGCAGGACUGACGCACAUCCUCCAUCUCUUCCUCCUGGUCCUCUCGGUCCUUCUGAUGCAUCUGCUUCAUCCUUUCAAUCUCCAACUCAAACCGCUGGCGAAGCUGGGGCCACAAGACAGGAUAGAGCAGGAAGGCCCACACGUUUGCAACUGUUGUCUCUAAUGUGGAGACACAGUCAGGAAACAGAAGAACGAACCUGGACUCCUAAACUGUUGGAGACAUGAAGGCGCUAACAGACAAUGUGGCCAGAGCCCUUGGCACAGCCUGAUUAAAUUAGCCAAGAUGGCAGCUCCUUCCCCCAACAUUGAUGGAGGUUAUGGGAGGAUGAUCCCAGCCGAGGGGCGGUGUGAGGAAAUAUUUCUUUUUCAUUUUUUCCAGCCUCUUGGGCACUCCUGACAUCCGCAAUACCAUUUAUGUCAAGCUUAUAUGAGUUAACAUAAAACUCCCAGGGAAAAGUGCCUUAUUGAGAUCAAUAAAUAUCUGCCUGGC